rnacentral:rRNA from 1 species
ACGGAAGGCAGCAGUGAGGAAUAUUGGUCAAUGGCCGGUAGGCUGAACCAGCCAAGUAGCGUGAGGGAUGGCGGCCCUAUGGGUUGUAAACCUCUUUUGUCGGGGAAUAAAGUGCUCCACGCGUGGGGCAUUGCAUGUACCCGUCGAAUAAGCAUCGGCUAACCCCGUGCCAGCAGCCGCGGUAAUACGGAGGAUGCGAGCGUUAUCCGGAUUUAUUGGGUUUAAAGGGAGCGUAGGCGGGAUGUCAAGUCAGCUGUGAAAUGUAGUCGCUCAACGUCUGCACUGCAGUUGAAACUGGCGUUCUUGAGUGCGUAAGAGGCAGGCGGAAUUCGUCGUGUAGCGGUGAAAUGCUUAGAUAUGACGAAGAACUCCGAUUGCGAAGGCAGCCUGCUGGGCCGCAACUGACGCUGAAGCUCGAAGGUGCGGGUAUCAAACAGGAUUAGAUACCCUGGUA